GCGCGGCCGCCUGGCGCGGGGUUACGCCCAUGUGGAGUGGUGGUGGCUGGGAGAGGCCGCGGAGCCAGCGGCGGGGAGAUCGGAGUGCGCGGGAGACGCGUCCCGGGUGACGGCUGGGAGAGAUACGGGAAACUUCACUCUUUGUCUCUGCCUUUUGGCUAUCACCUAAUUAGCACACAGGCUUCCUGCAUGCCACCUAUACCUGCCUGUUACAAGGGAUAAAGGAAGCUACAUUCAAGUCUUGAGAGAAAGUUCAAGAUGGCUGUGUAGAAGAUCUUGAAUUCGCCUCCUCCCAUGGACACACAUAUGGAACAAGUCCCUCUGAAAAAGACUUGAAAACUAGCUGAACAGCUCCUCCACAACAAAGGAUAAAAGAGCCACAUCGAGACAGGGUCAAGGUUUUUGCUUUGUGUGCGGAUCUAUUGUUGGUUGGAGCUCACCUUCGUCUGUUAAGCCAUAGAGCAUCAUUCAGAUUCCAGUUUUAGCUUUGUUGAGUGGUGCAAGAGCUUAAAGACACAUGCAUGAGGCUCAAUAAAUUAUGGAAUGAAUGGUCUUCAGAGUUACCAGAAAGAAGAACAUUGAAAACACUGUCUGGCUAAAGGAAAAAGAAAUUUGCUUGAGGACGUAAGAUAAUGACUCUGGGGAAGGAAGAGAAACUCCAGAACUACUUUGUUCUCUUCAAAGACUGAGCCUCAGGAGAAAAACUGGACCAGUCAACCCUAUGAGAAGCGCCAUGGAAGUGUUAAAGAAGAGGAUCUAGAGGCCAGAAUAUACGAUAGCAGAAAAGCUUCAGAAGUAUGGAUGAUCUUAGGAUGAGGAAGUUGAGGUGCAAAUAUGCUAAGAUGAUUCCUUGUCUCACAGAAGUGUCAGGGCCAGGAUCUGAACCCAAGGAGUCUGGUGCUGAGGAGAACCUUAUCUGCCUUCUAAUGUAUGAUGUGAACACACCAGUAAGGGCUACGACCAGUCUCCAUCUCCUAAAAUUGUGCUACUCACCAGAUGCACCGACAUCACCUGGGAGCUUAUGAAAAAUGCAGCAUCUCAACCUCACCCCAGACCUACCAAAUUUUAAUUUGCAUUUUAAGAAGAUCCCCAGGUAAGUAGCAUGU